UAAUCAUGGUGAGGAAAUACAUCUAACAAGUCUUUGAAUCUCUCCCACCACUGAUAGAAGGUUUCAACAUCUUUUUUAGCAAAACUCGUGAUCUAUCUCUUUAAGGUA